rnacentral:rRNA from 1 species
GUGGGGAAUAUUGGGCAAUGGGCGCAAGCCUGACCCAGCAACGCCGCGUGAAGGAAGAAGGCUUUCGGGUUGUAAACUUCUUUUACCAGGGACGAAACAAAUGACGGUACCUGGUGAAUAAGCCACGGCUAACUACGUGCCAGCAGCCGCGGUAAUACGUAGGUGGCGAGCGUUAUCCGGAUUUAUUGGGUGUAAAGGGCGUGUAGGCGGGACAGCAAGUCAGAUGUGAAAACCAGAGGCUCAACCUCUGGCCUGCAUUUGAAACUGUUGUUCUUGAGUGUCGGAGAGGUAAUCGGAAUUCCGUGUGUAGCGGUGAAAUGCGUAGAUAUACGGAGGAACACCAGUGGCGAAGGCGGAUUACUGGACGAUAACUGACGCUGAGGCGCGAAAGCGUGGGGAGCAAACAGGAUUAGAUACCCUAGUAGUC